ensembl:lncRNA
UUUUGAACUUUUUUUACACAAAUAAACAAAUCUUUUGGUAUUUAAGCCACUUUAUUCUGGGUUUUCUAUUAACCUAUUUGAUAGAGAGGUUCAUCAGAGUUAACUAGAAGGCACAGGAAACAUGAAUCAGCAACAGAGAACUGGGAUGUGUGACUUUUGUCUAGUCUGGUUGGGAAACUAGAGUGGAAGGUGCAACCAGGAAUCUGGCAGACUAGUCAGGUUCAAUGUUGAAACUCCAGCCCAAUGCAUGGGUGUGAACCAUCUGGGUCACAAUCACUGAUGGGGAAGAAGCAGCUAUUGUGCUGUCAGGCCAGGUAUUCCUUGUGCAGUAGACAGCUGGCCUUGCAAGGGCCAGACAUGGGUUGAGCAGAGACAGAGGCAGGCAGAGCUGACAUAGCCCAUGCCUGUUUCAGAGAUGGUGAAAGCAGAACUAUUCUGCUGAGCCUCUCUUUCUCUUCUUGGGGCUGUCUGUAAGCAGCUGGCUGACUCUAAUAUCCAGGCUUGUGAGAAUCAGCUCUGUUCCUCUCUCUGUCGUGUGUGGGCCAGCUGCAUCCCCACUGGUCCUCAUUUCCCCUGCACUGAGCUCAUUCACUCCCUGGGGAUUAAUUUGACUGUGAAUACUGUGGACUCUGAAGUGUGGGAAAACUGGAGACACAAACAACAGAAGCCUUAAUGCUACAGGGGCAGAGAGUAGCAUCUUUUCCUUGCUUAGCAUCACAUGAGACCUGGCAGGCCGUUUUGUUGCUGGUGACAUUCCGUAAUCAAAGACACUUCUACCCAGUGACUCAGGGAGGCAGCCUGCUGCUGAGCAAAGAGGAGGCAGGUCUGCAAGCUGGAGUUCAGAGAAACUUAGGAUCGUAUGAGAAUGAUCAGUCCAGAGCUCUCAGAAUCAAAGAGAUGUGAUGGCAGAGUGGGGCUGCUAUCUUGGGCCAUGAAGCAACAAGCAUGAAGACAUACAAAGGAUGGUUGAGUGGAAAGGUAGGAGUCUGAUGGCACUGUGGGGUUUCUGUUCCAGCCCUGGAGGGCCUGCCAGUGGAAAUUUUGUUGCAUGAGAAAGAGAAACCUUUAAGUAAACAAGCCACUGAUUUUUAAGUAUUGUGUUAUGGACAGCCAAGCCUAUUCUGUAAUUGAUUAAUUCCUAAUUGAUUAAUCCAGGAAUGACCCAAUUCUAGUAAUAUUUUAUCCCUGUCAUUCCUCCUUCUUUGAAAAACAUUCUCAGCAUCUGAGGGCAGUUUCGAGGAUUAAAUGAGUCAGUAUGAGUGAGGUUUUUGAAGUAGUGACUGAUAGUAAAUAUUGGUUCCUAUUACAGAAAGUGAGUACAAGAUAGUUUUUCCAAGAGAAUAAGGAUAGGGUUUCCGGAAGUCUUAGCUCCAGGUGAUACAGCUACAGUUGCCUUAUACAGGAAUAUGCUUACGAGGCAGGGUAAAAGGCUCAUUACACUUCAUAUGAUGUGUGUGCAUCCUUAUCUCACUGUGCUGAACUUUGAUGAGUAAAACUUGGUUUAUUACAGAAUAUGUGAAGGUAUUGGUGGGAGCCAUACACAGCACAAGAUCAUGGACAGUGGACAGUAAAAACCAAGUUAGAAAUAUUUAUGGAGCACUGCUUAUGCGUAGCGCUCAGUGUUGGUCCUGUGAUUGGAGAUAAUUUUUGUCAUCAAAUAGGACCUGUACCUUUAUGGGAUUCUGAAUGAAAGAGAAACAGUCAUGAGAAUAUUUAUUUGGUUACAUGUGCACUACAGCUGAAAAAAGAAAAGGCACUGCUACAUGGCCCUUGCCCAGGAGGGACUCACAAAAUCAUAAGACAAUUCAUAUUUUGUAACCAAACAUUUGAAAAAAAGAAGUAAUCGUGAACUCCAGGAAAAACAAAAAUGUUCCAAGAAUGUAAUUAAUCAUAGCAUACUACUAUGAGCAUAGUAAACUAGCAGCAAACAAUACUUAAUCAUAAUAACUAAAAAACUCAAAAUGGAUGAACCCUCAAAUUAUGAGGUAACUAACUGGGAGAAUGAAGGGGGUGAAGGGUAUUUGAGAGCGGUAAUAUCUUCCUCUGCUAUAAGAAGUCAGUAGAUAAUAUUUAAAAUUGAUAAAUCAAGUGGUAGCAGUAUAUUUGUAUUAUGUAAAGAUUUGCGGUAAAUUAGAAGAAAAAAGUCACUCAGAGAUGAUGUGGUUGCAGUGGGUGGGCUGAGAAAGGCAAGGAAUUGCCCUUUUUGGUGAAACAUUUUAGACUAUUCGACUUUUGAACUUUGAUAGAUUUUAAGCUAAAACAUUAAUUAAAAAUUAUGUUUUGGACAGAACAAAAAAAGGGAUUGAACAGUGAAAGAUCAAGAGGGAAUGAUUCCUUGGGAGCGGCAGUUGACAAAGCAAAUUACAGAAUAUACUCAGUGAGAAUCAGAUGAAACACGGGAGAUAAAAGGCUCCGGACCAAGAGGUCCCAGCGAAGCAUUCAGAGGAGAAAGGCUGCAACCAGGAAGUCCACACACUCACAGCUGCUUCCAGGCCCCGGUGCUCACCCAGUAACAAAGCCACUUCUGUCUGGGAAAACCACAGCAAGGCGAGGCAGGGAGCAGAAAGCCUUUAAUUGGGGUGGCGAACG